GGGGGGGAGGGGUGGGCAAGGUGGCCCAAGGGUCAUUUAAGGUGGCCCAAGGGUCAUUUAAGGUGGUCCAGAGUGGCCUGGGGGUCAUUCAAAGUGGCCCAAGGGUCAUCCAAGGUGGCCCAAGGUGGCCCAAGGGUCAUCCAAGGUGGUCCAAGGUGGCCCAAAGGUCAUUCAAGGUGGUCCAGUGUGGCUUGGGGGUCGUUCAAGGUGGCCCAAGGGUCAUUUAAGGUGGUCCAAGGUGACCUGCGUGUCACCCAAGGUGGCCCAAAGGUCAUCCAAGGUGGCCCAAGGGUCACCCAGGGGGUCCAGGGUGUCCUGAGGGUCACCCUGGAUGGUCCAAGGUGGCCC